rnacentral:rRNA from 1 species
AUGCCUCCAUGGGCGGCCACCCCCAUGCUGCCGCUGCUGCUCGUGCAGGGGAGAGGAGGCCACGACGCCAUCACCAUCGCCACCCUGGACAUGGACGUAGAGAUGGGGGUGGAGGUGGCGCAGAUGGGCGCGGAACCGGCGGCGCACGGGCGGCUGCUAUGGGCGACCGACGGCGGGCGGAGGUACAUCAGCUACGACGCGCUGGGGGGGACGUCGUGCUGUGCUCCCGGCCAGGGGUACCCUACUACAACUGCCGCAUCAGCACCACCACCAACCCCUACACCCGCGGCUGCGAGUCCAUCACCCGCUGCCGCAACGACGACCCUUCCUAGGUGA